CCUACGGGUGGCAGCAGUAGGGAAUAUUGCUCAAUGGGGGAAACCCUGAUGCAGCAACGCCGCGUGGAGGAUGAAGGUUUUCGGAUUGUAAACUUCUUUUGUUAGAGAAGAAAAUGACGGUAUCUAACGAAUAAGCCCCGGCUAACUACGUGCCAGCAGCCGCGGUAAUACGGAGGGUGCAAGCGUUACCCGGAAUUACUGGGCGUAAAGAGCGCGUAGGCGGGUUAGCAAGUCAGAUGUGAAAGCCUAGGGCUUAACCAUAGAACUGCAUUUGAAACUGUUAUUCUAGAGUAGGGGAGAGGUAGGUGGAAUUCCUGGUGUAGGGGUGAAAUGCGGAGAGAUCAAGAGGAAUA
rnacentral:rRNA from 1 species